CCCCCGGACCCCGCCGCCCUUGGUCCCCGCCUCGGAGCCGGGGACCCCCAACACUGACCCUUCCGGCUGGUCCUCCUGCAUCGCGAUCCCCAGAGGUGUUUUGGAACCGAGAAUGGGCCUCUUGGUCAGUACCAAGGGCUGGGGAACGGUCACAGAGCAGCACAACUGGUCUAUAUGGAACAUACCGGGAAACCAAGUGGGCGAUUGCCUGUGCUGUUUAUUUUUAUGGCUGUUGACAGCACUGGAAGACUUCUCUCAGCACACCCAGAUUGCAGUUUUGAUGGCAGAGAAUGGGAUGGAUGAAUAAGGAUUAGCCCUCACAAUGGUUCAGGGUGGGUCAUAUCUCCAGAUAACAAGCCUUGAGGAAAAAAGCUCUGCAGUUAAUGAUGGAAAGCUGA